GCAGCCGCGGUAAUUCCAGCUCCAAUAGCGUAUAUUAAAGUUGUUGCAGUUAAAAAGCUCGUAGUUGAAUUUUGGAUUCUGCCAUUUGGUCCAUCUUUUAGAUGAGUACUGAGUGUGUAGGGUCUAUUCGCCUGGUGAUACGUAAUGUCCUUUAUUGGAUGUUGCGGGUAGUCAGGACUUUUACCUUGAAAAAAUUAGAGUGUUUAAAGCAGGCUUAUGCCGGAAUACAUUAGCAUGGAAUAAUAGAAUAGGACGAAGUUGUUUUAUUUUGUUGGUUUCUAGGACAACCGUAAUGAUUAAUAGGGAUAGUUGGGGGCAUUAGUAUUCAAUUGUCAGAGGUGAAAUUCUUGGAUUUAUUGAAGACUAACUACUGCGAAAGCAUUUGCCAAGGAUGUUUUCAUUAAUCAAGAACGAAAGUUAGGGGAUCGAAGACGAUCAGAUACCGUCGUAGUCUUAACCAUAAACUAUGCCGACUAGGGAUCGGGCGAUGUUGUUUCAAUGACUCGCUCGGCACCUUAUGGG
rnacentral:rRNA from 1 species